rnacentral:rRNA from 1 species
AGUGAACGCUGGCGGCAGGCCUAACACAUGCAAGUCGAGCGGCAGCGGGUUCCCGCGAGGGGAUGCCGGCGAGCGGCGGACGGGUGAGGAACACAUCGGAAUCUGCCUGGUUGUGGGGAUAACGUAGGGAAACUUACGCUAAUACCGCAUGCGACCCUGAGUCGACGGACUGGGGGUGAAAGUGAGGGACCUUCGGCCUCACGCGACCAGAUGAGCCGAUGUCGGAUUAGCUAGUUGGCGGGGUAACGGCCCGCCAAGGCGACGAUCCGUAGCUGGUCUGAGAGGAUGAUCAGCCACACUGGGACUGAGAC